rnacentral:sRNA from 1 species
AUUUUUAUGGUCAAAAUGUGUCAGAAUCCAAUGCAUUUGACUAAUUAUAAGAGUUAGAGAUGGAUUAGGAGUGUUUAGACAACACUUAUACCCCAUUUUGUCCCAAAAGAGGCUAAAACCAACAAAAAAUUGCUUAAAAGCAGUAAAUAGCUUUGUUAGUGUUUCUAUGGUCAAAAUGUGUCAAAAUCCAAAGCAUUUGACUAAUUAUAAGAGUUAUAGAUGGAUUAGGAGUGUUUAGACAACACUUAUACCUAUUUUCUCUUUAAAAUAGGCUAAAACCAAUAAAAAAAUAGCUUUGUUAGUGUUUCCAUGGUCAAAAUGUAUCACAAUCCAAUUUAUUUGACUAAUUCUAUCAGUUAAAGAUGGAUAAGGAGUGUUUAGACAAUAAUUAUACCCAUUUUGUUCCAAAAGUGGCUAAAACCAACAAAAAAUUGCUUAGAAGUAGUAAAUAGCUUUGUUAGUGUUUUCUAUGGUAAAAAUGUAUCACAAUCCAAUGCAUUUGACUAAUUAUAAGAGAUAAAGAUAGAUUAGAAGUGUUUGGACAACACUUAUACCCAUUUUCUCUCAUCAGAGGUUAAAACCAACAAAAAAUAACUUAGAAGCAGUAAAUAGCUUUGUUAGUGUUUCUAUGGUCAAAAUGUGUCACAAUCCAAAGCCUAUAACUAAUUAUAAGAGUUAGAGAUGGAUUAGGAGUGUUUAGACAACACUUAUACUCAUUUUCUCCUAAAACAGACUAAAACCAACAAAAAAUUCCUUAAAAGCCGUAAACAGUUUUGUUAGUGUUGUAAUGGUCAAAAUGUGUCACAAUCCAAUGCAUUUGACUAAUUAUU